UUUAUAAAUCACGGGUGCUGGACGGCAUACGUUUGCCACAAAGCUGAGACAGGGCGAGAAGACGUGCACGUCCCUGAACCGUUGAACCUGAUCCGGGUAAUACCGGCGAUAGGAAGAAUAAUGAACCGAUCG
rnacentral:ncRNA from 17 species